ensembl:lncRNA
AUGUCCCAAUUGUUUCCUCUUGCCAUUGUGACCCGACGGUUCACUGUUUUCAGUGUCCUCCUCUCUCUCCCCACCCUGUCCUCCUCUCUCUCCUCACCCUGUCCUCCUCUCUCUCUCCUCACCCUGUCCUCCUCUCUCUCCUCACCCUGUCCUCCUCUCUCUCCUCACCCUGUCCUCCUCUCUCUCCUCACCCUGUCCUCCUCUCUCUCUCCUCACCCUGUCCUCCUCUCUCUCCCCACCCUGUCCUCCUCUCUCUCCCCACCCUGUCCUCCUCUCUCUCCUCACCCUGUCCUCCUCUCUCUCUCCUCACCCUGUCCUCCCCUCUCUCCCCACCCUGUCCUCCUCUCUCCCCACCAUAGCCUCUCUAUCCCCACCCUGUCCUCUCUCUUCCCACCCUGUCCUCCUCUCUCUCCCCACCCUGUCCUCCUCUCUCCCCACCCUGUCCUCCUCUCUCCCCACCAUAGCCUCUCUAUCCCCACCCUGUCCUCUCUCUUCCCACCCUGUCCUCCUCUCUCUCCCCACCCUGUCCUCCUCUCUCUCUCCCCACCCUGUCCUCCUCUCUCUCCUCACCCUGUCCUCUCCUCUCUCUCCUCACCCUGUCCUCCUCUCUCUCCCCACCCUGUCCUCCUCUCUCUCCCCACCCUGUCCUCCUCUCUCUCCCCACCCUGUCCUCCUCUCUCUCCUCACCCUGUCCUCCUCUCUCUCCUCACCCUGUCCUCCUCCUCUCUCUCCUCACCCUGUCCUCCCCUCUCUCCCCACCCUGUCCUCCUCUCUCCCCACCAUAGCCUCUCUAUCCCCACCCUGUCCUCUCUCUUCCCACCCUGUCCUCCUCUCUCUCCCCACCCAUCCUCUCUCUCCCCACCCUGUCCUCCUCUCUCCCCACCCUGUCCUCCUCUCUCUCCUCACCCUGUCCUCCCCUCUCUCCCCACCCUGUCCUCCUCUCUCCCCACCAUAGCCUCUCUAUCCCCACCCUGUCCUCUCUCUUCCCACCCUGUCCUCCUCUCUCUCCCCACCCAUCCUCUCUCUCCCCACCCUGUCCUCCUCUCUCCCCACCCUGUCCUCUCUCUUCCCACCCUGUCCUCCUCUCUCUCCUCACCCUGUCCUCCUCUCUCUCCCCACCCUGUCCUCCUCUCUCCUCACCCUGUCCUCCCCUCUCUCCCCACCCUGUCCUCCUCUCUCUCCCCACCCUGUCCUCCUCUCUCUCCCCACCCUGUCCUCCUCUCUCUCCUCACCCUGUCCUCCCCUCUCUCCCCACCCUGUCCUCCCCUCUCUCCCCACCCUGUCCUCCUCUCUCUCCCCACCCUGUCCUCCUCUCUCUCCCCACCCUGUCCUCCUCUCUCUCCUCACCCUGUCCUCCCCUCUCCCCACCCUGUCCUCCUCUCUCUCCCCACCCUGUCCUCCUCUCUCUCUCCCCACCCUGUCCUCCUCUCUCUCCCCACCCUGUCCUCCUCUCUCUCCCCACCCUGUCCUCCUCUCUCUCCCCACCCUGUCCUCCUCUCUCUCCUCACCCUGUCCUCCCCUCUCUCCCCACCCUGUCCUCCCCUCUCUCCCCACCAUAGCCUCUCUAUCCCCACCCAUCCUCUUUCUCCCCACCCUGUCCUCCUCUCUCUCCCCACCAUAGCCUCUCUCUCCCCACCCUGUCCUCCUCUCUCUCCACCCUAUCCUAUUCUGACAGUGUAG